UGUCAUGUAACAAUUCUCUCUUUCAAAAUUUAACUUUGGCUUUGUCCCUCAUGUUGGAAAAUAGAAUUUCCAUGGAUCAGUUGAUGCCUUCCACGUCAAGGCUGUGGACACAACAGGGGCUGGCGAUUCUUUUGUAGGAGCCCUUCUCUGUAAGAUUGUCAACGAUCAUGACAUAAUCCAGGUAAUGUAAUUUCUUGAUAACAUUGUUAGGCCCCAUUUGAGAGUGAUUUUUCAUCCUAAAAAAUUGAUUUUUUGACCGUUAUUUCAUUAUUUCAGUCGUAAUUUUUGACUUAUUCUCUCACAUGUGGCCCCCACUUUUUUCUAAUAAAAAAAUCAAUUCUCAAAAUUCUUACUGAACAAGCCCCUUAAUAUAUUGCACGUUCUAAUUAUGUUUAGCAUUUACUGAACACUGAUUCUAUUGAUUUCUUGAUUUUCAGGAUGAGCUUAGAUUGAAGGAAGUACUUAAAUUUGCAUGUGCCUGUGGAGCAAUCACCACGACUAAAAAGGGAGCCAUCCCAGCUCUCCCAACCGAGAAAGACGUACUCGCUCUUCUUAAAGAAGGAAAAUAGAGGAAAGAUGUCUUCUUUUCCUAAUUUUGAUUUUUGCCAUGUUUUUCUGGACAAGUUUUGAAUUUGGAUUUGGCAAUUGGUAUCGCUGUCUCAGUUUUUCUUUAUUUGCUUGAUAUGAUGAAAUAGUUUCAUUAAGGUAGUUAAAUAAAUAAUGAUUUGUCAUUUUCUUUGGAUAAAUGCUUGUGGCUUGCAGUUGCAGCGGUCAUUGAAAUCUUCGUUUCCUUUUC
rnacentral:lncRNA from 1 species